AGAAACUGACGCGCGUCGGCCAUUCAUGGACGCCGCCGUGUGAACGUCUGCAACAUAUUGUCACGAGGACAGAAGUCCACGUCUCCGUUAGACACGAGUCACUGCGCGGAGGCGGUGUUCGUCGUCCCCGUGUUGCGAGGUCCGCCCCUGUCGGGAGAUGAAGACGCAGCUGUGGGGUUUUAAAACGGUUGGUCAACGUUAGCUUCUAGCUUCGCUAGCCACUCCGGCCGGGCUGCAUGUGAACACAAAGGCCACGCGCACGGACUCGCUCACCAACAAUGUACCCGUCCUGGGGGAACUACGGGGGACCCCAUCAGCCCAACUAUGGGCCCGGCCCCCGGAAGCCGCCGGGCGCCGGGCCGGCCGCGGGCUUCGGCGGCUUCGAGGCCUCGCCCGGCGGCGGCGGCGGCUCGCUGUUCUCCAGCCUGCAGGAGCAGCACCUCCAGCAGAUGCAGCAGCUUCAGAUGCUGCACCAGAAGCAGCUGCAGUCGGUGUUGCAGCACGGCAACAACGCCGGGCCACCGUACGGCGGCGGCUACCCAGGGUCGCCGUGGCAACCGGAGGCGUCGGGACACUUGGACAACAGCGCCGGAGCUCAGACCUUCUACAACCAAGACGAGCCCCCGGCUCAGCCGGCGAGAGCACCGGGUCACCAGCAGCCUCCUCUGCCUCCACCGCAGCCGCACCAGGCCGAGCCCCAGCCGUGUCCUCCCCCCCCGGAACCCCCGACACCAAAGCCACCUGAGAUCAACGAGGCCCACAAGAAGGACUCCCUCGCGACAGAAGACGACAAGUCCUUACCCCUGCAGCAACAACAGCAACUUUGGUACAAACGGCAUCUUGAGAAUCUACAGAAGUUGAAGCAAGAGAAAGCCAAACAGAAUCAAAAAGAGGGUGAUGGUUCUGUUGCGCCACACCCAGGCCAGGCAGUUCCUCCUCCUCCAUCAGAACCACCCAAAGGCACGCCUCCUCCACCACCACCAAAAGACGAGCCCCCAGCACCGCCUCCGCCACCAGACGAAUUACGGAGUGAAAAACCACCUACAUUUACAGACACAACUGAAAUCCCACAAGACCCAGUGGAGGCUGCCCGCCUCCAGCAGUUACAGGCUGCAGCAGCACAGUGGCAGCAUGUGCAACAGCAAAGAGCAGGCUUACAAUACCAGGCUCUCAUGCAACAGCACGAAAAGCUGCAGCACAUCCUGGAAAAAUACCAACAGCUGAUUCAACAACCAGCAGACCUCCAGUCAAUGUCUACUGAAAUGCAACGGAGGCACUAUGAAUUGCAACAGCAGCAGUUCACCCCUUUAUUUCAAGACUGGGAUCGCUCAUUUGUCCUGUGGUAUGAGCAGUUCAAGACUUAUCCCCAUAAAGACCAAUUGCAGGACUAUGAGCACCAAUGGAAGCAGUGGCAGGAGCAGAUGAAUGCCACCAACUCCCAUCUUCAAGAGAGGGUGGCCACUUUGACUGCCAUGCUGCCACUCCCCUCAGGCCAGUAUACUGGUGGGAUGAUGGGACAAUAUGGCCAGUACCCUGGACAAGAUAUGCAAAUGCAGCAGCAGUCACUAAACCUGGGUAUACAGCAUUCUACAGGUGCUGUUGGUCCCAGAUCUCAAGGUCCUCUGCCCACUGGGUUUGGGCCACAUACAGAGUCACCUGCUGGACCCCCUGUGCUAGGAGGGGGCCCUGCUGGAAUAGGAGUCAGACCCCCAGGUCCCCUCACUAAUCAACCACCAAACUUCAACAGUGUUCAAGGUCCACGAGGAAACAACCCCAGGUUUGACCAGCCACAGCAGCGUUUCGAUGGUCCCCAAAGGUUCGACCAACCACAGCAGCGCUUUGAUGGUCCCCCAAGGUUCGACCAACCACGGCAGCGCUUUGAUGGUCCCCCAAGGUUCGAUCAACCACGGCAACGCUUUGAUGGUCCCCCAAGGUUCGACCAACCACGGCAACGCUUUGAUGGUCCCCCAAGGUUCGACCAACCACGCCAGCGCUUUGAUGGUCCCCCAAGGUUCGACCAGCCACGGCAGCGAUUUGAUGGUCCUCCUAGAUUUGACCAACCACGGCAGUGUUUUGAUGGUCCUCCCAGAUUUGACCAACCUCAAUUUGGGCAGCAGCCAAGGUUUGAACAACCCCCAAGGCAUCCUGGCCCUCCGCCUCGUUUUGAACCCCCACCUGUGCCACAGCAAAAACAACAGCAAGGUCCGCAACCUAAAGCAGAAAUGGGCACUAAACAGCCUGCCAGAAUGGACUCCAAAACUCCUGGAAAAUCUGAUGUGCAACCACAAUCUGAAAAAGGAAAAAGUGAAGUGGGGCCAGAUGGUAAGGCCGAUGCUGUAGACUUGACAGAUGACAACAUGCUUGGAAAUGAUGGUUUUUUUGUCCAAAAAGACCCCAUUCCUCAGACAUUACAGACAAACAAAAAUCCAGAGGAAUUGGAUGCCAAUGAUGCUUCUGAUAAGAGAGAAAAUACCAAACCUCUCAACAGCAAGCCUUCAGUAGCAGCUUCUUCCGUGGCAUCAAAAACUACUCCUGCUGAAAAAACCCUCAAACCAGACGAAACAUUGACAAAGAAUAAACCCCCAAUAGGUCCAAAGCCCCCAGGAAGUCAACAGGAGCCACAAGCUUCUGGCCAAAUGCAGUCGAGGCCUAUCCCUGGGAGGGGACGAGGCCAGCCGCCAGUACCUGUUCAAGUGCAUGGGCGAGGUCGUGGGCAGAGGGGCCGAGGACAGUUCACGGGACCAAACACUGUCCCACUGGGGGAGGAGAUGGAAGAAAUUUCCUAUGACUACAUGCCACCUGAAGAAGACUUAGGCGCAUCACAAGAGCAAGAAGAAUAUCACUGGCAAGAUCCUUCAUACGAGGAGUUUGGUGAGGAUUCUGAGGUGCCCCCUGAAGAAAUGUGGAUGCAGGAGGAAGAUCACUUCCCUACGGAGGAAGCGUAUUAUGAAGAGUCAAUUGGGGGACCGCCUAGGGGGAGAGGAGGGCACCCAAUGAUGAGAGGGAGGCCCCCAAUGAUGAGAGGAAGGCCCCCGAUGAUGAGAGGAGGCCCCCCAAUGAUGAGAGGAGGCCCCCCAAUGAUGAGAGGAGGCCCCCCAAUGAUGAGAGGGGGCCCCCCAAUGAUGAGAGGAGGCCCACCAAUGAUGAGAGGGGGCCCACCAAUGGGAAGGGGUGGUCCACCCAUGGGUAGAGGGGGUCCUCCUAUGGGUAGAGGUGGUCCUCCAAUGGGUAGAGGGGGCCCCCCUAUGGGAAGAGGAGGACCACCUAGGGGAAGAGGAGGACCACCCAUGGGAGGAGGCGAUCCAGUGGACAUGCACUGGGAAGAACCUCAAUCAGCCGAGUACUCAGAGGAAUUGGACCAUUACUGGGGAGAAAGGGGACCUUCAAUAAGAGGAAUGAGACCCCCAUUUCCUCCAGGCCGGGGUCGCCCCCCACGUGGUCAUCCUGGUUUCAUGCAGCAAGGACGAGGACGCCCCCCUCACCCAGCACAUGGACCAAUGGAUCACGAGCCAUUAGGCCAUGGAAUGGACACUGACGAUACUGAAACUGAUGCAGCAGGCCACCCAGUGUACCAUGGACAUGACCCUCACAGCCAUCCGAUGCAUCCUGGUGUAGGAAGGGGCAUGCGUCAUGGGCCACCACCCCACAAAAUGAUAGAUCCUAUGGAGGAGCCUUUGUAUGAUGAAGGAAUGGAUGGGUGGCAAACACCACACGGCAAAGGACCCCCUCUGCCUCCACAUGAGUUGAUAGAUAGGGGAGGGCUGAGAAGGAGACCUAUGGGCCGAGGAAUGGCAAGAGGACGGUGGCGGCCAGGUCAAACACAUGAAGAAUAUGAAGAGGGAUUUAAUGAGGGUUUCGUCGAGGAUUAUGGUCAUGGGGAAGAUGGGUAUCGCUGGCGGCCACCACAGGAUUAUCCUCCUGAUGACUAUCAGCAUGAGGCCAAGUUCUAUAAGUCUGAAUGGGACAGAGAUCGUGCUCUACCUGAGAGGGACUACCCCUCCCGCAUGCCUCCACCAGAGACCUACAGGGAUGGCCAAUGGCGAGAGGAAAGGGAAAAGGAAAAAGGUCCCCCUUAUCCAUAUGAUGAGCCUGACAGAGGGAGAGGAGAACCUAGAAUCCGUGAAUACCGGGAAGAGCCACCAUACCGCCAGGAAGAGACACCGUACCCACCACCACCCUCUUCAGAAUGGGAUAGGUCUUCGCGGCUCCUUUUGCCACCAGAGAGAGAGUAUCAUUCUGAGUAUGAAGAUCGCAGACCUCGCUAUGAGAAGCACAGGGAAGAGCCUCCUUUAGAUAAACUUCCACCACCUGUCACAAACUUACCAGACAGCUCUGUUGAACCAUCACCAAGCGGAGCAAAUGUACUUGCUCUCUCCCAACGUCAGCAUGAGAUCAUCUUGAAAGCUGCUCAAGAGCUUAAAUUUAUAAGGGAACUGCAGGAGGGAAAGAACACUGGUCCUGAACCUCAGCCUGCACCAGCUGACAUCUUGCCUGAGCUUCCUGCUGGUCUUCUUGGUUUGGAGAUCCCACCUGACGUCAGGAAUGUUUUGAAGGGUAUGACUGCAGCAGCACAGACAGCCACAACUGAACCAGUGUCUUGGGAUACUAAGACUGCAACAGAUUACCAACCAGUCCUCCCUGCUGCUCCCUCAGCAUCAGUGAUUCCAAAGACUGUGGAUUAUGGGCAUGGACAUGAGCCAGGUGCCACUGUUGAGCGGAUAGCUUAUGGUGAAAGAAUUGUGCUGAGGCCUGACCCAGUGCCAUCAGACAGGGGUUAUGAAAAAGAACCUCUUGGUCCCAGAGAUCCUUAUGGCAGAGAUCAAUAUUAUGAAAGACGUUCAGACCCUUACAUGGACCGCCGGGAGUACAGUAGAGACAGGGAGUUGUACAGAGAUAAGCCUCCACCUGAAUAUGAAAGAGAAAGAUUUGAGAGGGAGCGCUAUCCUCCAAGAGAAAGAGACGACAGCACACAGUCCAUGGUUGACGAAAGAUCUCCACUGGCACCAUCUCUACGCUCAGGAUACAGGGACCGAGAUUGGGAUCUUCGAGAUCGUGACCGAAGUGGCAGUCGUGAUCGAGAAGAACAUUAUGGAAGACCUGGCUACGACAGACCUUCCUACGACAGACCUCCCUACGAGCGCGCUGGACUUGACCGUAGUGGGCCUGAGCGUUACGGCCAUAGCUCCUCACCGUACGUGGACAGAAGAAGUUAUCCAGAGGAUCGAGGGCCUCCCAUUGCACCACCCCUACCACCUCCACCACAGCCACCCCCACGAGUCGAGAAGAAGCCAGAAAUCAAGAACAUUGACGAUAUCCUCAAACCACCUGGCAGAUCAUCUCGACCUGAAAGGAUUGUCAUCAUAAUGAGAGGGCUUCCAGGAAGUGGAAAAAGCCAUGUUGCAAAACUCAUACGGGACAAGGAAGUCGAUUGUGGUGGUGCCCCACCGAGAGUUCUUGUUUUGGACGACUAUUUCAUGACGGAGGUUGAAAAAGUUGAGAAAGACCCAGACACGGGCAGGAGGGUCAAAACCAAGGUUCUCGAGUACGAGUACGAGCCUGAGAUGGAGGAUACCUACCGGAGCAGCAUGCUUAAAACAUUUAAGAAAACUCUGGAUGAUGGCUUUUUCCCCUUCAUCAUUUUAGACACUGUUAAUGACAGGGUUAAACAUUUUGAUCAGUUUUGGAGUGCAGCCAAAACUAAAGGCUUUGAGGUAUAUCUGGCUGAAAUCACUGCAGACACACAGACGUGUUCAAAGAGAAAUGUCCAUGGACGCUUGCUUAAGGAUAUAAUGAAGAUGUCCAACAACUGGGAGUCUUCACCACGUCAUAUGGUGCGCCUAGAUGUCCGGUCCCUGCUUCAGGAUGCUGCUAUAGAGGAGGUUGAAAUGGAAGACUUCAAUCCUGAUGACGAGCCCAAGGAACCCAAGAGAGAAGAGGAAGAAGAGGGUGAUCUGGGCUACAUUCCAAAAAGCAAAUGGGAGAUGGACACGUCUGAGGCCAAACUUGACAAGUUGGACGGUCUGGGGAGCAGUGGGAAGAGGAAACGUGAAGGGGAGCACUCGGAAGACCUGGAGGACUACCUUCAGCUGCCAGACGACUAUGCCACACGCAUGUCCGAACCAGGGAAGAAACGGGUUCGUUGGGCUGAUCUUGAAGAGCAGAAGGAAGCAGAUAGAAAGCGUGCUAUCGGCUUUGUGGUGGGUCAAACGGACUGGGAGAGAAUAACGGAUGGGAGUGGCAAGCUGGCACAAAGAGCUCUCAACCGUACCAAGUAUUUCUAAGAAGAAAAUGUUGUCCUUUUUUCCUUCACUGAAAGGUAGGUUUCUUACUCUUUUCUUUAGCAUUAGAACGGCUGUAAUGUUACUGAUGAUUGGAAGAGUAAUCCAAUUGAUGUCAAGCAAUCAUCAAUAUCUCAGUUGUACAAUUUGAAAUAUUAUCUUAACAAUACACUUCAAAUGAUGUGAUGAGGACACGUUUGAGACCUUUUCUUAUGACACGCCCUCGACUGAAAAGGUGUCCAGAAUGUGGAAUGUGUCGAUGAUGCUGAAUCCUGGUGAAACAUGAGACUCAUCAAGGUGAUAAUCACCAGUAGAUAUCAAAUUCUCAGUUAUUUAUGGAAAUGGAUACUGGUAUAGUUUUUUCCAUUAUUUUAAAGACACUUGCUUUUCACCAAUUAAUUUGUAGUUUCGGUUUCUGUGCUACUUCUGAUCAUGUGUCCUGUAAUCGUUUACGUUUUUUAUACUGUUCAUGUAUUAUUUACUGUAUGCCUGUAGCACUGUUUCCUGGUCCAUGCAUACUUGGAAAAAGUUCAAUAAAAAUUUCUUAAAAUCA